CGACACAGGAUCGCGUCGCCAGUCUUGAUCUC
rnacentral:scRNA from 1 species